rnacentral:rRNA from 1 species
CCUGGUGGUUAUGGCGGAGCGGCUGCACCCGAUCCCAUUCCGAACUCGGCCGUGAAACGCUCCAGCGCCAAUGGUACUUUGUCUCAAGACACGGGAGAGUAGGUCGCUGCCAGGU